UACGAAGGGGGCUAGCGUUGCUCGGAAUUACUGGGCGUAAAGCGCACGUAGGCGGAUUGUUAAGUCAGGGGUGAAAUCCUGGAGCUCAACUCCAGAACUGCCUUUGAUACUGGCAAUCUCGAGUUCGGGAGAGGUGAGUGGAACUGCGAGUGUAGAGGUGAAAUUCGUAGAUAUUCGCAAGAACACCAGUGGCGAAGGCGGCGCACUGGCCCGAUACUGACGCUGAGGUGCGAAAGCGUGGGGAGCAAACCGG
rnacentral:rRNA from 1 species